rnacentral:rRNA from 1 species
UACGUAGGGGGCAAGCGUUAUCCGGAUUUACUGGGUGUAAAGGGAGCGUAGGUGGCAUGGUAAGCCAGAAGUGAAAACCCGGGGCUCAACCCCGCGGAUUGCUUUUGGAACUAUCAGGCUGGAGUGCUGGAGGGGUAAGCGGAAUUCCUAGUGUAGCGGUGAAAUGCGUAGAUAUUAGGAGGAACACCGGUGGCGAAGGCGGCUUACUGGACAGAAACUGACACUGAGGCUCGAAAGCGUGGGGAGUAAACAGG